AGGAGAGGGAGGAGAGUGAUGGACGCUGCGCAGAACGGAGGGAGGGAGGAGUAGGAGACGGGAAUGCAUAAUACGUGAGUGACAGAGGGUGUGCAGGCGGCUGGCAGAGUCCAGAAGACGCGGAUGUUCAUACCCCAGGGUCCAGGGAUGCCCUCUGCUUCUUUAUUAGUUUAUUUGCUUUUAGCAUUAUUCAUUCAUUUCACAUCUGGAGAAACAGAAGUGAAGUUCAGUGGACAAACAGAAUUUGUAGUCAAUGAAACAAGUACAACUGUUAUACGUCUUGUGAUUGAAAGGACAGGGAAGCCUGCUAACAUCACAGCAGUUGUGUCGAUUUAUGGAGAAAAUACAGGAGACUUUUUUGACACAUAUGCAGCUGCAUUUAUACCUGAUACGGAAACAAACCGAACAGUAUAUAUAUCUGUCUGUGAUGAUGAUCUUCCAGAGGCUGAUGAGACAUUCACAUUUCACUUGACACUACUGAAACCAUCUGCAAGGAUAAAGCUUGGCUCACCCAAAUCUGUCACUGUAACAAUCUUAUCAAAUGACAAUGCCUUUGGAAUAAUUUCUUUUAACAUGUCUGCCUUAAUCACAGUGAAUGAGCCUAGGGGCAGAAAUGAAUUUGUGCCUCUCACUCUAAUUAGGGAGAGAGGAACCUACGGGAUGGUCAUUGUAACUUUUGAGAUAGAAGAUGGACCAAACUCAGCUGAAGAAGACUUAAGUCCAGCCAGAGGAAAUAUUACAUUUACCCCUGGGAGAUCAGUGUUGAUUUAUAAUUUAACAGUGCUUGAUGAUCAGGUACCGGAAAAUGAUGAAAUCUUUGUUGUUUGUCUGAAGAGUGUGGAGGGAGGGGCUGAAAUAAACAACACAAAAAAUUCUGUUUGGAUUAAUAUUAAGAAAAAUGACAGUCCCGUGCGUUUUGUUCAAAAUGCUUAUAUGGUGCCUGAGGAAGAUGAAGUGGUAACAAUCCAAGUGGUUCGUGGUAAGGAUGUCAGUGGAAAAUUAAUUGGACCUGAUGAAGACGAAGUCUCUGUCAAUUACGCCAUCAUAACUGGGGAUUCAACUGCACAUGCACAGCUUAACGUAGACUUCCUAGAUCUACAGCCAAAUACAACUCUUGUUUUCCCACCUCUAGUUCAUGAAACCUAUUUGAAAUUUAAGAUCCUUGAUGAUGCCAUACCAGAAAUUGCUGAGACCUUUCAGAUUAUGCUUCUUAAAGAAACUUUGCAGGGAGAUGCUGUUUUGAUUUAUCCAUCUGUUGUUCAUGUCACUAUCCAGCCGAAUGAUAAACCCUAUGGAGUGCUGUCAAUCCACAGUGUUCUGUUAGCUCACACUGUUAUCAUUGAUGAAGACAAAAUUUCAAGGUUUGAAGGGAUCACAGUUGUAAGAAAUGGUGGAACACAUGGAAAUGUUUCUGUUUCCUGGGUUAUAAUCCGAAAUAACAGUGAUCCCUCACCUGUGACUGCAGACCUCCUUCCAGAGGCAGGGGAGAUAAGUUUUGAUCAAGGACAGAUGCUGGAGACACUUCAUCUGAACGUUAUUGAUGAUGAUAUACCAGAAGAGGCAGAGCCUUAUCUUCUGAAACUCCUAGCUCAUACAAUACAGGGAGGUGCCGAAGUCAGUGAGCCAUCUGAGCUUCUGUUUUACAUUCAGGACAGUGAUGAUGUUUAUGGCCUAAUAAAAUUCCAUCCUUUGGAGAAUCAGAAGAUUGAAAGUAAUCCAAUGGGACGCUUUUUAUCCUUGAGUUUUGCAAGGGAAAGAGGAACAGUUGGAGAUGUGCAGUUGUUUUAUACCUCACUGUAUAUUCCAGCUGGAGCUCUGGAUCCUGAGAGAGCGAAAGGUGGCAUUCUAAAUAUGUCUAGAAGAAGUACUUUCAUCUUUCCAGAAGGAAAAGCACAAGCUACUAUAAAUAUACCAAUACGAAAUGAUGCAUUUCUUCAAAAUGGAGCUCAUUUUGUCAUACAGUUGGAAAAAGUUGAGCUGCUGAAUAGAAUUCCUCUUGUCCCACCUGUGAGUCCUAGACUAGGCGAGAUUCGAAAUAUUUCUUUAAGGAUUACUCCAGAUAUUGCAAAUGGAGAAAUAGGCUUUACUAGCAAUCUUCCAAUUAUUCUUUCCGAGCCAGAAGAGUUGCCUGCUACAGUGGUUUCCAUUGCAUUGCAUCGAGAUGGGACUGAUGGUCAAGCAACAGUGUUUUGGAGUUUGAAACCCUCUGGUCCUAAUCACAAGGCAAUAACACAGGAUGAUAUAAGUCCUUUUAAUGGCUCUAUUGUUUUUUUAUCUGGACAAAGUGAUACUACAAUCAACAUUACGAUUAAAGCUGAUGAUAUACCUGAAAUGAAUGAAACCGUAUUAUUAACUUUGGACAGGGUAGAGACAGAAAGGUUUGUCGUGUACUUUGGGGUCAGUGUGGAAAAUCAAAUACUGAAAUACGGGUUUACUACUUGUGAAAUUACUAUUUUGGAAAAUGAUGAUCCUGGAGGAGUGUUUGAAUUUUCUCCCUCUUCCAGAGGUCCCUACAGUAUCAAGGAAGGGGAUUCUGUUGAACUGCAGAUUGUCCGCAGCAGAGGGACCCUUCUCAGGCAGUUUCUGCGAUACACUGUAGAACCAAGGAACGAUAAUGAGUUUUAUGGAAGCACAGGAAUUCUGGAAUUUAAGCCUGGGGAAAGAGAGAUUAUAAUUACUCUUUUGACAAGGAUGGAUGGGAUUCCAGAGCUGGAUGAGGCAUAUGCUGUUGUACUCAGUGGCUACAGUGAAAUGUCAGGCAAGCUGGGGAAUGCCACAAGGGUCAAUAUAAUGAUUUUGAAGAAUGAUGAUCCACAUGGUGUCAUUCAGUUUCUACUUGAUGAAUUAUCAGUAACAAUAAAGGAAAGUAAAGGAGAAAUCAUCUAUGCUGCCUCUUACAGAGUUGUAAGAAACCAAGGAAACUAUGGCAAUGUUAGCGUGUCCUGGAUUGUUGACCCAGCAUGUACCAAUGACAUCUAUCCAGAACAAGGGACUAUUUUCUUUGAUAAUCUGGAGUUCUCAAAAAAUAUCACCAUUUACUCUCUACCAGAUGAGGUACCUGAAGAGAUGGAGGUAUUCAUAAUCAGAUUAUUCAAUGCCACUGGUGGAGCCAGACUGGGCAAUAUAACCAGUGCAUUUUUACAAAUUACAAGGAAUGAUGAUCCCAUUUAUUUUGCAGAACCUCUGACAGUGAGCAUUACAGAAGGGAGUGUAGCAAACUUUACAGUCCUAAGGAAUGGAUCUGCUGAUGCUGUUGUUGCUGUUCAGUAUAUUACUGUCAAUGGAGAUGCAACAGCUGAAGAGGGAGACUUUGUUCCCAGUGGAAAGAACAGUGUCAUUCUGUUUGGUGUUGGAGAAAGAGAGCAGAACUUAUCUGUGUAUAUUAAUGAUGAUGAUACCCCUGAAACUGAUGAAACAUUUUAUAUCUUCCUUUUGAAUUCAACAGGGGAUACUGUUAUCUUUAAUGCUGGAGUGGCGACAGUUAUUAUUGAAGCAAAUGAUGAUCCUAAUGGAAUUUUCUCCUUAGAAUCUCUAGAGAAGCCAGUGGAAGAAGGAAAAAGUAAUAGUUUUUUGAUUUUGAGACAUAGAGGACACUUUGGGAAUGUCUCAUUAACCUGGCAGCUGUUUCAUAAUGGCUCUACACUGAAGCCAGGAGAAGAGUUCUAUGAAACUUGUGGGACCGUGUACUUCAUGGACGGUGAAGGAUCAAAGCCGAUAGUGCUCCAUGCUCUUUCAGAUAAAAUUCCCGAAUUCAAUGAAUUUUACAGUUUAAAGUUGGUGAAUGUUUCAGGUGGGUCUCCUGGUCCUGGUGGGCAGUUGUCUGAAACAAGUCUUGCUGUAACCGUGAUGAUCCCUUCCAAUGAUGACCCUUUUGGAGUCUUCGUUUUAGAUCCAGAGAGUCAGGACAGAGAGAUAGUAGAAGAUAUUCUUUCUGAAGAUGAUCUUUCCUGUAUUACAGACUUCACCAUCUGGAGAAAACAAGGCACUUUUGGGGUUGUCCGUUUAGGUUGGGAAAUACUGUCCAGUACGUUUCAAGCUGGAUUACCAUCAAUGGUAGACUACUUGUUGCUGGGAUCAUUUCCAAGUUCAGUACAAUCCCAGCCGCACAUGAGACGCCAUCACAGUGGAACAGAUGCUUUGUAUUUCAGUGGAAAAGAGGAUGCAUUUGGAAUUAUUGGUCUGGAAUACCCAUACAAUGGAAAUACUGCAGUAAAUAAUUUUACAUUUUCAGCAUGGUUAAUUCCUAAUGUCAAUACUGAUGGUUAUAUAGUUGAAAAGGAUGAUGGUAAUGGGACCUUAUAUUAUGGCGUGAAAAUCCAAACAAAUGAUUCUCAUGUUUCUGUAGUGCUUCAUUAUACAGCAUUAGGAUCCAAUAUGACAUACAUAGCCAAAGCAGCAAUCCUAAAAUACCUGGAUGAAAGUACUUGGAUUCAUGUUCUGAUUACUCUGGAUGAAAGUAUAAUUGAAUUUUACAUGGAUGGAAUUUCAGUUCCAGGAGGAAUUAAGAGCCUUAAAGGAGAAGCAAUUGCUGAUGGUCCAGGAAUAGUGAGAAUUGGAGCAGGAAUCAAUGGAAACAGCAGGUACAUGGGUCUAAUGCAGGAUGUAAGGCUUUAUGAGAGAAAACUGACACAAGCAGAGAUCUAUGAACUCCAUGCAGCUCCUGCAAAGAGUGACGUACACCCUGUCUCUGGGUAUUUGGAGUAUCGGCAGGGAGAAACCAAUAAAUCAUUCAUUGUGUCUGCAAAGGAUGACAAAGAGGAAGAAGGAGAGGAGUUAUUCAUCCUAAAGCUCAUUUCUGUGUGUGGUGGAGCUCGAAUUUCACAAGAAAACACAACAGCAAGGUUAAGAAUACAGAAAAGUGAUAAUGCUAAUGGUUUAUUUGGUUUCACUGGAGCAUGUAUUCCUGAGACUGCUGAUGAGGGUUCCACUAUAUCCUGUGUCGUGGAGCGUACAAGGGGAGCCCUAGACUAUGUGUAUAUAAAUUACAUUAUCUCACAGGUUGAUUCCAGUGGCAUAAAUUACUCUAUUAGCGAUUUUUCUAACAGCAGUGGCACUAUCACAUUCCUUCCUUGGCAGAGAUCUAAGGUCUUAAACUUGCAUGUUAUUGAUGACGACAUUCCAGAGCUAAAUGAGUAUUUCCGUGUGACAUUAGUCUCUGCAGUAUCUGGAGAUGGAAAACUAGGUUCAACUCCUACCAGUGGAGCAAGUAUAGAUCCAGAAAAGGAAACUACUGAUAUCAGCAUUAAAGCCAGUGAUCACCCAUAUGGUCUACUGCAGUUUUCAGUGGGGCCACCUCCUCAACCCAGUGAUGAAAUGAUUCUGCCAGCCUCUUCUGUGCCCCAUAUCACUGUUAAAGAAGAAGUUGGACACAUUAGAUUAUUGGUAGUUCGUGCACAAGGGCUUCUUGGAACAGUUAUUAUGGAAUACAGGACAGUGCCACUUACAGCUUUCAGUCCUAAGGAUUAUCAGGCUGUUGGGGGCUCAAUGGAAUUUCAGCCUGGAGAAAGAUACAAGUACAUUACUGUUAACAUCACUGACAAUUCUAUUCCUGAACUAGAAAAAACUUUUAAAGUGGAGCUGUUGAACCCAGAGGGAGGAGUUGCUGAGCUCUUUAGAAAUGAUGGAAGUGGUAGUGGUGAUGGAAACAUGGAUUUAUUCCUUUCAAGUGUCCCUCAACAUGCUAGCUUGGGAAUUGCAUCCCACAUCCUUGUGACUAUUGAGGCUUCUGAUGAUGCUCAUGGUGUGUUUGAGUUCAGUGCUGAGUCCCUCUUGGUGAAUGGAACUGAGCCCGAAGAUGGAGAUAGCAAUGUUGUGCUGCAGGUUGUGAGAACUCACGGAGCCUUAUCUCAGGUGACAUUGUAUUGGAUCAUAAUCUGCGAUUUUACCAAUGACCUGAUCUCUACAGAUGGGAGUGUAACAUUUGAUGUUGGCCAAGCAAGAACAAAUAUUACAAUACAGGUUUCUCCUGAUGAUGUUCCCGAAUUGGAUAAGAUAUUUUCAGUUUUGAUCAUCAAUGUCUCCCAUGGUCGUCUUGGUUAUCAUACUAAUGCAACGUUAACUAUUUUAGCAAAUGAUGAUCCAUACGGAGUCUUCAUCUUUUCUGAGCAAAACAGACCAAUAAAAGUUGACGAAGAAACAAAAAAUGUCUCUCUGACAGUUAUAAGAUGUGGUGGUCUCCUUGGUACAGUAAUGGUGAAAUACAGAACUAUUGGUGAUGAGGAAAAGUCGCCCUUUCUUCCACAUGAUGUUGUCAGAGCAAUAGAGGGAAAAGACUAUAUACCCAUUACAGGUUAUGUGAUCUUCUCAACCAAUGAAAGUGAGGCCACAAUAUCCUUGCCUAUUUUGGAUGAUGAUGAUCCAGAGAGGUCAGAAUCUGUUUUUGUUGAGCUAAGCAGUAUUGCUUUGAUCAAGAAAGUUCAGGAUCGGCCAAUUAUAAAUUCUCCUCGACUUGGCUUAGUGGGUGAGACAAUAGCUCAUGUGAUUAUCAAUGCCAAUGAUGAUGCUUUUGGAACACUUCAGCUUUCAGCUUCAGCUGUGCGUGUUGCUGAAAAUUAUGUUGGACCAAUCAUUAAUGUGACCAGAACUGGGGGAAUAUUUUCAGAUGUUUCUGUGAAAUUUAAAGCUAUGCCAAUAACUGCAACAGCUGGUGAGGACUACAGUGUAGCUUCAUCAGAUGUUGUCUUACUAGAAGGGGAAACAAGUAAAGCUGUGCCAAUUUAUAUAAUUAAUGACAUCAAUCCUGAAGUUGAGGAGUCAUUCUAUGUUCAGCUGCUGAACCAAACAACAGGAGGAGCCUUACUUGGAUCUUUGACGAGGGCAAUCAUAACUAUUGAGGCUUCUGAUGACCCAUUUGGAUCCUUUGUUUUUCAGAAUACUGAAUUCACUGUGGAGGAGCCUGAAUUUGGAUCAGUAACCAUAAAUCUGCCAAUAAUCCGCAAUGCUGGGACACUGGGUAAUGUUACUGUUCAGUGGGCAGCUACCAUUAAUGGACAUCCUGCUGCUGAUGACUUGCAAGUUGCCAUGGGUAAUAUUACUUUUGCCGCUGGGGAAGCUAUUCAGAUGUUGCUGUUGGAAAUCCUGGCUGAUGAUGUUCCAGAAGUAGAAGAAAUUGUCCAUGUAGAAUUAACUCAGGCCUCCAACGGUGGUGCUAUCGGCUUAGAUAGCAUGGCAAAUAUUGUUAUACCUGCCAAUGAUAAUCCUUAUGGCGCAGUUUUCUUUCAUCAAUCCUCAUACCGAAUUCAGGAGCCACUAGAAAGAAAUUUACUUGCAAAUAUAUCAGUCAGGAGAAGUGGGGGAAGGUUCGGUCAGCUGCAAAUAUUUUACAGCACUUCUGAGAUUGACAUCGUAGCUCUUGCCAUUGAGCAAGGUGAGGAUAUACUGGCCUAUUAUGAGUCUCCUGUACAAGGAGUUCCUGACCAGCCAUCCAAGACCAGAGUGAAUGUGUCAGCAGCAAGUGAUCCACUGCAUGCCUGUGCAACUCAGUGCCUAAAAGAAAAAGCAUGUUCAGCCUUUAUAUUUUCCAGUGCCUCUGAGAUUCCACUCUGCCUUUGGCUGACAACAGAGAUCAGCCUAUUAACUAAUAUGUCAGGAUUGUGGACCUACAAGAAAAACAUCAGCAGUACAUCUACUCUGUUUAGCACACAAGCCAUUGCUGGAAGUGACUAUGAAUCUAUCACAAGACAGUGGGCCAUCAUGCAGGAAGGGGAAGAGUUUGCAAAUCUCACAGUUACCAUACUCCCUGACAGCCUGCCAGAGCUGGAUGAAAAAUUCACUAUAUCCCUGUUGAAGGUUGAACUAAUGAAUAUCUCAGCCAACUUAAAAAAUCAACCAACUAUCGGACAGCCAAAUACUUCCACAGUUAUCAUAAUGAUGAAUGGGGAUGCCUUUGGAGUAUUUAAGAUCUACAGUGUAAGUCCCAAUGCAACAGAGAAAGGUCUGUAUAUUGAAGUAGAAGAACGCCCUCAGGCCAAUGUGCAGCUAAUGAUACAUAGGACAGAAGGCAGCCUGGGACAGGUGGCAGUGGAAUGGUGUGUUGUUGGUGGAACUGCUACCCCAGACUUGGAUUUUGUCGGAGUUGGUGAGAUUCUGGUGUUUGCUGAAGGUGAAACUAAAAAGAUGGUCACACUGACCAUUUUAGAUGAUCCAGAGCCAGAGGAUAAUGAAAGCAUCAUAAUCAGCCUGGUGCAUACUGAAGGAGGGAGUAGGAUUCUGCCCAGUUUCGACACUGUCACAGUGGUUAUCCUGGCAAGUGACAAUGUGGCAGGAAUCGUUAGCUUCCAGACAGAUGGAAGGUCUGUUAUUGGUUGUGAAGGAGAACAAUUGCAAUUCCAUAUUGUAAGAACGGCCCCAGGACUGGGAAACGUUACUGUUGAGUGGAAGAUAGUUGGACAUAACGUACAACAAAAUUUUGAAUACUAUUCUGGAAUACUCUUUUUUCCUGAGGGGAUAUUGAAUACAACAUUGUAUGUUCACUUGCUGGAUGACCAUAUUCCAGAAGAAAAAGAAGUAUACCGGAUCAUCCUAUACAACAUCAAAACAGAAGGUGUUUCUCCUUCUGGUGCUGCUGUUUUGGACAGUCAAGGAUAUGAAGCUGUUCUGACAGUAGAAGCUAGUGAUGAACCACAUGGAGUACUGAAUUUUGCUUCUCCAUCCAGGGUAGUUUUACUUCCAGAGGAAAACAAAACAGUUCAGCUUUUUAUUAACAGAGAAUUUGGAUCUCUAGGUGCUAUCAAUAUUACAUAUGCCACAGUUCAAGGAUUGGUCUCCUUAAGUAAUCAGACAGAGGGGACCUUGGCUGAACCAGGAGCUGAUUAUGUAGCUGUUUCUGACUCAGUGAUUUUGGAAGAAGGAGAAACAUCAGCUGCCAUAAAUGUAACUAUUCUAGAGGAUGAUGUACCAGAAGUGCAAGAAUUCUUCUUGGUUAAUUUAACUUCAGUGGAACUUAUCAUGAACCAUUCAACUUCUUCCCUACCUAGGCUGGUGACAGAGUUAAUUCGUUACAGACUGAAAGAUGUGGAAGGUUUAGCUUCUCAAAUUAUUAUUGAUGCUAAUGAUGGAGUAAGUGGAGUAGUUGAAUGGGAAAGUACCAAUUUUGAAGUUAAUGAAUCUCAUGGGAAUCUGACAAUAAUGGCAUACCGAAACAAAGGAUCUUAUGGCAAUGUAUCUGUAUUUUUUUAUGCCCAAAAUUUGGAGGCACAGCUGGGUUUGGAUUUUAAUGUGAUCUCAAGGACUCUUUUUUUUGCUGAUGGAGAAAGGAAUAAAUCUGUUGUUGUUGUGAUUUGUGAUGAUGAUAUUCCUGAAGGUGUUGAGAAGUUCCAGUUAAUUCUAACAAAUCCCUCAUUUGGCCUGGAAUUAGGGGAGAACUCAACAGCCACAAUUACUAUAUUUGCCAAUGAUGAUGGACAUGGAGUUUUGUCAUUCAGUAACAGUGAUCACUUCUUCCUAAAAGAGCAAACAGCUCUCCAUCUGAUGGAAAGUGUUGCAGUAUUAAAUAUUAUUAGAGAACCUCCUCAGGGAAUAUUUGGAAUGGUGUCUGUUCAAUAUCUUGUAAGUGAAAUUAAUUCUUCAGAGCCAUCAGUGGAUUUGACCCCUUCUCAAGGAUACAUUGUGCUGGAAGAGGGAGUCAGAUUUAAGACACUGCAUAUUUCUGCAAUCCUGGAUGAAGAACCAGAAAUGGAUGAGCACUUUAUUGUCACCCUGUUCAAUCCAACUGGAGGAGCCAGACUAGGCACCAGAGUGCAAACUAUGAUUACAAUACUGCAGAACCAGGCUCCACUGGGGCUUUUCAGCAUCUACCCAGUUACAAAUAGGACAAAUAUCUUCACAGUUGAAGAGGCGAACACUACAGUUUAUUUGAAAGUUUCACGGAGUAAUGGGCUCAACGUGACUGUGAGUGUUGAGUGGGAGACAUUGUCGGAUACUGCAUUUGGCAUCAGGGGUAGUAUCAGUGUCCUGUCUGUCUUGCAAAGCUUUGUGGAAGAGUCAGCAGCUAGCUGGUGUUUCUUUCGAUCAGCAGAAAUACUGUAUGGUGUGCUAUUGCGUUCACCUCCAGCUGUGUUUUCUACUCUCUACCAGUGGAAAGGAGUUUUUGUUGCCAUUGAGAAUUUCAGUAUGUGGGAUCCUAAAAGCUGUGUGUCUUUCCAAAUCCAUGCUUCUCCCUACCUUGUGAUUACUCAUGGAGGAACCAGGCAGGGAGCUUCCAACAGCAGUAUAUAUGCAUUCAUGCCUGGACGCAAACUGUUGAAGCUACAGACCCUCUCUAUUUUGGAUACCAGACUUGUCAAGCAUUUUGCUGUGAAUGAAGAGGACUAUUUGGUUUUUGUGAGUGACACCACUAGUUUCAGUUCCAUCCAGAUUUUCCAGUGGAAUAAAGAUACAUUUGUGCUGCAUCAUCAACUUCCACUUUACAGAGCUCUGAACAUUGCCUUGUUUUCCCGAGGAGGCAUGAUGUACUUACUAGUUGCUUUGUCAAAUACCAGCCAGAAUGUGCUCUUGUACCAAUGGCUGAAUAAUGAGUUUAGGAAUCUUCAUCAGUUACCAGCAAAAGAAAUAACACAUAUGGAGGCCUGGACUUCUGGGUCUGAUAUAUAUUUAAUUGUUGCAAAAGAAACUGGAAAUUCUGAAAUUUUCAUCUGGGAGACAGGGCAGUCUACCUUCAGACACUUUCAGUCUCUUCCAGUUUCUGCUGUAAGAAACAUCCAUGUUUUCAUGCCUACUUCAGGUUUAGUUCACAUCAUCCUCUCUGGUAAGGACACAACAGCACUCUACUCCUGGAACUCAGAAGGGAACCAGUUCUCUCUGAUGCUGGAAGCCCCAUAUGCAGAUCAUAUCACUUCUGCUACUGCAAGGUCUCUGAACACCAGCAAGAGCUUGAUUGCUCUUUCCGUAGAGUCCAGCUCCCAGAUUUAUGAGCUGACCACUAUCUCUAACCAGUCAGAUUUUAUACCUAGUUCAGGUGAAUUGAUAUUUGAGCCUGGGGACAUGGAAGCUGUGAUAGCAGUCAAUAUCCUGGAUGACAUCAUCCCAGAAGAGGAAGAAUGUUUUAAAGUGUGGCUGAAAAACCCCAAAGGAGGUGCAGAGAUUGGUGUUCACAGUUUUGUUAACAUAAUUAUUCCUUCCAACGACAAUGCCUAUGGAGUCAUUGCAUUUGCUCAGAGUUCUUUAUUUAAGCAAGUUGAAGAAGUGGAACAGGACAGCUUGAUCACCCUGAAUAUUGAACGUUUAAUAGGAACAUAUGGACGAGUUACAGUAGAAUGGAUCGCUAAUGGGAGCAUAAGUGAUAUAUUUCCAGCUUCAGGAAUGAUUACAUUUUCAGAAGGUCAGGCCCUGUCCACAAUCACCCUGACAAUUCUCGCGGACAGUGUUGCAGAACUUUCAGAGGUAGUGGAAAUCACACUCACCCAUGUUACCACUGUGGGUGUUCAAGAUACCACAAAAGGAGCUGUCAUUGAUCCUGAAAGGGCAAGAGCUGUACUUAGCAUUUUACCCAGUGACUCUCUACAUGGUGUGAUUGAGUGGCAUAUGGAGUCUCUCUUUGUUAAAAUCAGAGAACCAGAAGGGCAGCAGAAUUCAACUACUGUUACCCUACAAAUUGUUCGAGAACAAGGAUUUGUCGGGGAUCUUGCAGUUCAGUUGAGCACUGCACCGAACUUUGAACUCCCCCCCUCCAACCGAGCAACAGAGAAUGAGGAUUAUAUACUGGAAAAGAAAACAGUCAUUAUGGCAGAGAAUGCAACAACAAUUUCUGUCACAGUCACUAUUUUGCCUGACAACGUUCCAGAAUUACAGGAAGGAUUUAUAAUCAAUAUUACUGAUGUGCAGCUGAUCACUUCUUCCUCUGGAGGUCAACCAAGUGUGAAGAGGCUUGGAUUAGAAAUAGCUGAAAUAACAAUUGAAGAAAACGAUGAUGCCAGGGGAAUAUUUAAUUUUAAUGUUACAAAGGAUAUCACUGGAGCUGUUUCUGGUUAUGAAGUACCACCACCACAGAAUGUACUGAAACUCCCAGUUGUUCGACAGGGUGGGAGAUUUGGGUCAGCAGCUCUGUACUGGGAAGCCAUUCAUUCAACUGCCAGCUUUGAAGACUUCACACCAUCAUUUGGAAACCUUACAUUUGCAGAUGGGCAGGCUACAGGAGAAAUAGAAAUUACAAUCAUAGAUGACAAUGAAGUUGAAUUUCUUGAGAUAUUCAAAAUUGCCCUGGUGAGGGUAACAGGUGGUGCAAGACUUGGGAAUGACACCUUGGUAACUGUCGCUAUUCCACCAAAUGAUUCCCCUGUUGGGGUAUUCGGGUUUGAAGAAAAGAAAGUAACAGUGAAGGAACCUCAGACACUUGAUGACUCUGCUGCAGUUGUUUUGCUCAAUGUAAGUCGAAGUCAGGGAGGACAAGGAGCAGUUAAAGUGUUAUGGAUCCUCGACGAAGCAGCCAGAUAUAAUCUGACCCCUCUAAAUGGUACCCUUCAUUUCAAUGAGGCUGAGUCCCAGAAGCUGAUUGUUUUACACGUGAUACAAGAUGGUCUGCUGGAGGGGAAUGAAACAUUUACCAUUCACCUAGUCUCUACUGGUGAUGCAGAGAUAUCCCCUGUAAAUGGUGUUGCAACCAUCAUUAUCAUGGGAGAUGAAGGAGCUUCUGGGGUGGUUGGGAUUGCCCAUUCAUCCAAGCAUGUUUUGAUUGGAGAACCUUCAGGAAAUUAUAAUGGAACUGCUCUUAUUAGCCUGGUACGUGGCCCAGGGAUUUUUGGGGAGAUCAUAAUCUAUUGGAAUAUAACACCUCCUCAUCAGACAGAAUUUACUAAGGUAUCGGGAACUUUGACCAUGCGAGAUAGGCAGUCUGCAGCAGUUGUUCUAAUACAGGCUGUAGAUGACAACCGUCCCGAGGAGAAGCAUUACUACCAGUUUCAACUAACCAGAAUCAGUGAUGGAGGACUAAUAAAUGAAUCUAGCAGCACAGCAAAUAUUACCAUGGCCGCCAGUGAUUAUCCAUAUGGAGAGUUUGCAUUUGCCCGUGAACUAUUGCAAACAACAGAAGACGAAAUAUGGGUUAACAUCACUGUUGUGCGUUCCAGUGGAUCCUAUGGCAGAGUGCGUCUUUGGUUUCAGAUAAUAAAUGGGACUGCGGAGGAAGGAAUGGAUUUUACUCCCACAGUAAGGGAAAUGGUGUUUGAACCAGAGGAGGAAAGUAAAAUUAUAUUGAUUGAAAUUCAUGAUGAUGACUUUCCUGAAGGUCCUGAAUACUUUUCAUUGAUGAUUACUGAAGUGGAACUCCAAGGAAGUGGAUUUGAUUUUACUGUAAGAGAGAAUGGUCUACAGGUGGAUCAACCUCCAAUAAUAGGAAAUAUCUCCACAGUACGGGUCACUAUUGGAAAAAAUGACAAUGCUGAAGGUGUCAUAGAAUUUGAUCCAGAGUAUAUCCUUCUAGAGGUGGAAGAGGAUGCUGGAUUAAUCAUGAUUCCUGUUUUGAGAAAGCGUGGAACUUAUGGCAAUGUCACAGUUGAUUUUCUUUCUCGAAGUAUUUCUGCACUUCCUGAUGGUGUUGACUAUGUCAUCCAUAAUAAUUCUGUCAUUUUUUGUCAUGGACAGAACCAGUCUUUUAUUUAUAUCUCUAUUAUAGAUGAUGAAGAAAGUGAAUUUGCAGAGCAAUUUGAAAUCCAGCUGACAGGAGCCACUGGUGGAGCAGUCCUGGGGCUCCACCUGGUGAGCCAGGUCACCAUUGCAAAAAGUGACUCUCCCCAGGGCAUGGUCCGAUUUCUCAACCAAAGCCAAAUUAUUCUUCCCAACCCUGAUGCAACCACAACAGUGUCCCUGGUGCUGGAAAGGACUGGGCGGUUGGUGGAAGCACAGAUUAAUUGGGACAUUUUGGGACCCAAUUCAGAAGAGAUUUUGUCUCCCCUGAAUAGUGACAUUGGUGACCCUGUGAAUGGAUCAUUCUAUUUUGAAGAAGGAGAAGGAGGUCUGAGAACAAUUAAUCUACAAAUCUAUCCUCAUGAUGAAGUUGAAGUUCAGGAAACCUUCAUUAUUCGACUGAGCCUUAUGAAAGGUGAAACAGAAAUAGAUUCUAAGGCAAACAGCAUUACACUAAUAAUAGAGAAGUUUGGUGAUCCCAAUGGAAUUGUACAGUUUGCUCCUGAAUCAUUAACUGAGAUUAACUAUGCAGAACCCUCAGCAGACGAAGGGCCACAAAGUAUUACACUGUUUGUCAAACGAUUUCAAGGCAUUCUGGGGAAUGUAACGGUUUACUGGGAAAUAUGUAGUGAAUCUGACAUCACGGGUGACUUUCUUGAGACAGAGGGAUCUGUUGUGAUUGCUGAUCAGCAGAGUACAGCUGAGAUAAUUAUUUACCUGUUACCUGAUGAUGUUCCAGAACUGGAUGAAAACUAUGAGGUGAAGCUGAUUGCAGUGGAAGGUGGAGCAGAUUUAGACCAUGAGAAAGGCGUUUCAAAGAUCACAGUGUUAGCAAAUGAUGAUCCUUAUGGAGUGUUUGCCCUGUACUCUGAUCAGCAGUCAGUAUUGGUAGAAAAAACCUUGGAUCGAUAUGUUCAGGUUAAUGUAACUCGGCAUGCUGGGGCAUUUGGAGAAGUGAUGGUCAAGUACCGUGUCAUAUCCCUUCAUGAAGAAGCACUAAUUGAACCUGAGAAUGAGGUGGGAUUCCUCACAAUAAAGGAUGGUGCCAGCUUUGGAGUAAAAAGAGUGCCAAUAAGCAACCAGGCAUUUAUUUCACUGGGCUUGAAUUUUACUCUGGAACUGACUAAUGUAAGCCUGGUUAGGGGACGUGCCAAGGAUGUGCCUAAAAUAUUAGGAAUAGCAAAGUCUGCUUUGGUGCUUAUUCCUGAGGAAGCUGCCAAUUCACAGGUUGGCUUUGAAUCUGUGAUAUUACGACUUACAAACAUUGUAGCAGGGACAGGCCAUGCUGUCAUAAGCAGAAGAGGAGUUUAUGGUUCUGUAAUAGUUAACUGGAUUUCAGGAUAUCCACCGGACCUAGUCACUGACUCUGUUAAACUAGGCAACAUUACUCCUCCAUUUGGUACUGUUGUAUUUUCCUCUAGGGAGGAAAGUAAAGUGAUUUCAUUUCAGGCUACUCCAAACCUAAAUAAACCUGAGACAUUUGCCAUCACUUUAACAGCAGUGCACAGCCAUGUGUCUGGUGGGGCUCGCCUGAGAUCAGGAUUUACAAUAGCUGAAAUUGAGCCAAUGGGGAUCUUCCAGUUUGACCUUAACUCAAGAUCAGUUUCAGUUGAAGAAGAUAUCCAGGCAGUCAGAUUACAUGUUCAAAGAUUGUUUGGUUUUCAAAGUAAUCUCACUAAACUGACGUAUCAGACCAUUCCAGGAAGUGCCAAACCACUAGAAGACUUUAUACCCAUCUACAAUGGAGAGCUUAUGUUUUCAUAUUUUCAGACAAGUGCAGUGAUAGAAAUAUCAAUAAUUGAUGACACUGUGUCUGAAAUACAAGAAUUUUUUCUUGUAAAUUUGACUUCUGUGGAAAUUCUGGAUGUUCAGCCAAUGAACCUUGACUGGAGUCCCCGUCUGAAUCCAGUUUUCAGUGUUGCAACAGUUAAUAUCCUGGCUAAUGAUAUUCUUCAUGGAAUACUAAGUUUGGGGCCAGAGUUUAUUUAUGUUGAAGAAGAUACAAACAACAAUACCUCCAACACAGCAGUGCUUCAGAUCAAAAGGACCAAGGGAUUUACUGGUGAUAUUAAAAUAACUGUUAGAACUUUUGGGGGAGUGAGUGCACAGAAUGGAGUAGAUUUGUAUCCUUUUGGAAAUGUUUAUGGAAAAUCAAACUUCACAUGGGCAAUGGAAGGGGAAGAUUUUGAAGAACAGACAGUCUCUCUGACUUUGCUGGAUGGAGAAAGUGAAAGCCAGGUGUCCAUAAAAAUUUUUGAUGAUGAUGAGCCUGAAGGACAGGAAUUGUUUUAUGUUUUCCUCUCAAAUCCUGAAUAUGGAGUUCAGAUUGUGGAAGGAAAGGAUGAACAUGGAUUUGCUGCUUUUGCAACAGUAGUUAUUGAAGGAAGUGAUCUCCAGAAUGGCAUCCUGGGAUUCAUUCCAGAAGUGCAAAGUGGCCUGGUACUUGAUGAAGACUCGGAAAAGAGAGAGGUGCUGCUGACUGUCACACGGCAAUCAAACAGAGCUUUUGAAGAUGUGAAAGUCUUCUGGCGUGUGACCUUUAAUAAAACAGCUGUUGUCCUUCUGAAGGAUGGUGUGAACUUGGAGAAUGAACUUGUAUCUGUGCUGGGAGCCACGACCUGCAUAGCAGGUCAAACAAUGUGCAACAUCUCCAUUGAAAUAAAACCUGAUCAUGUACCGGAAUUUGAAACUUAUAUUUUUGUUGAGCUGUAUGCUGUAAGCACAGGAGCUGCUUUGAACAACAGUGCCAGAUUUGCUUUUAUAACUGUCCUGGAAAGUGAUGCUCCUCAUGGUUUAGUGUAUUUUGCUGUGGGAUCUCGAUUUGCUGUGGCUUAUAAGAAAACAGCUUUAAUCAGUCUGCAAGUUCUUAGAGAUUCUAGUACAUCAAUAACCACAAUGGUUAGCUACAGCAUGCAGGAGCUACAAAAACCUGAACCUAUUGGAAGGACCUUCAUAUCUCCAGCUGUGGCAGGACAAGAUUUUGCCAGAUCGGAAGGAUUACUGACUUUUGAACGUGGACAGAGAAAUGCAUUCCUGGAUGUGACCCUGACUCCAAAGACAGGAUCUUUAAACCCAUUUCCUAAACGUUUCCAGGUUGUACUUUCUAAUCCCACAGGCGGUGCCAGGGUAGAUGACAUGUAUGGUAUUUCCAACAUCACCAUUGUCUCAGAUUUGGACUCCUUGCCAGUUUGGGGACUGAUUGAUCAACUGCAUCAGCCUCUUGAUGACACCAUUUUACACAAAAUCCUUCAGAAUCUGAAUGUCAGAGUGGCUACAGAAACUACAGAAGAGCAACUUACUGCUGUGGUGCAUAUAAUAGAUAAGGUUACAGGUGUAGGUGAAAAACUGUUGCUAACUGGUAAAAGUAGAAGUCUUUUCUAUGAGAUACUCUGUGCUCUGGCUAGCCCAAAACGUGAGGAUACACAAGGAUAUAGCUUGCUUGCUGAGGUGACUGAGAAGUUUGCUUUUUCUCUGUUGACUGGGAUAAAGUGUGGAUCACCAGGAGAAAGAGGCAAAAAUAUCCUUGACAGCUGUCCAUAUAUUGCAAUAAUGGCUCACAACUGGUUUCCUCAGCAAAUCAAUGGACACAGAUUUAAUGGAAAAGAUGGGGAUUCUAUUCAAGUACCUGAGCAUUUACUAGAGGUCUCUCUAGUAUUAUCAUCUCCUCAAGAAGAGAACUGUGAAUCUGUACAGUUCACAGAAUACAGCAGUCAGCAGUGGUUUCUUACUAGAGAUAAAGAACUUGCCCUGAAGAACAAGGUUUUUUCAAUGAGCUUGCAGGGUCAGAGUUCACUACCUUUGAAAGAUAACAAUGAAGUCAUUUAUCGUAUUUAUGCUAAAGGAAAUCGGAUUGUUCCACAGAAGUCUCUAUGUCUCCUCUGGAAUCAAGCUGCUGAAAGCUGGCUGUCUGAUAGCGGAUUCUGCAAGGUGGUUGACGACAAAUCAGAUUAUGUGGAAUGCUCCUGUUCUCAUAUGUCCAUUUAUGCAGUUUAUGCCCAAACAGAUAACUUAUCUUCAUACAACGAGGCUUUUUUUUCUUCUGGAUUCAUCUGCAUUUCAGGUUUUACUUUGGCUAUCAUCUCCCACCUUUUCUGCACCAGGUGUGCCAUGUUUGCCGCUAAACUUCUCACUCAUAUGAUGGUUGCUUGUUUGGGUACUCAGGUUUCAUUUCUGGCCUCUGCUUACAUGAGCCAGCAUAUCUCAGAGGAAAGCUGCUUUGCCCUUGCAUCUGUUACCCAUUACCUUUACCUCUGCCAGUUCAGCUGGAUGCUUAUUCAGGCUGUUAAUUUCUGGUAUGUCCUUGUGAUGAAUGAUGAACACACGGAGACGCGCUAUCUGCUUUACUUCCUUUUGAGUUGGGGACUUCCAGCUUUUGUUGUGAUCCUUCUUCUAAUUAUCCUGAGAGGAAUCUACCAUCACAGCACAGCACAGAUUUAUGGCCUUGUCUACGGUGAUCUGUGUUUCAUUCCAAAUGCCUAUGCUGCUCUCUUCACCUCUGCUCUGGUGCCAUUAAUGUGCUUGGUGGUGGUUUUUGUGGUGUUCAUCCACGCCUACCAGGUGACUCCUCAAUGGAAGGCAUAUGACGAUAUCUUCAGAGGAAGAACAAAUGCAGCAGAGAUCCCCUUGGUCUUGUACCUCUUUGCUCUGAUUUCUGUCACCUGGCUGUGGGGAGGACUGCACAUGGCUUACCGGCACCUCUGGAUGUUAGUCUUCUUCAUCAUCUUCAACAGCCUGCAGGGUCUUUAUGUCUUUGUGGUAUAUUUUAUCCUGCACAACCAACUUUGCUGUCCUGUGAAAGCAAGUUACGCUGUAGACAUGAAUGGGCAUACAACUCCAGGAUCAGCGUUUUUCACACAUGGCAGCGGUCUGCCAGCUGUGGGAGGAGAGAUCAGCAAGUCCACACAGAACCUCAUCAGUGCUAUGGAAGAGGUGCCUGCGGACUGGGAGAGGGCAUCCUUGCAGCCUGGUAGUCAAACUAGUGCUGCCUUUAAGCAGAGUCCACAAAAUGGUAAUGUCUUCCACCCUUCUGGAGGAUUCAGUACCAGCUCAUUGGUUACUGAUGAGGAAUCACAAGAGUUCGAUGACCUAAUAUUUGCUUUAAAGACUGUUAGUCUGAUGCCCUUCAAGCACCAGUCCUGGCUCCAAGGAAGAAGUGGUCAUUGGCAAUUGGAAGACAAGGACCUCUUCUCUAAAUAGGCUAAAGUGUAUAGGCACCUAAGAUGCCUUUUUGCUGAGAUGCUCUUGCCUGUCAUUUGCUGUGCGAGAUUGCGACAGAGUCAUAUGUUAUUGUCAUUGAGGAUAAAGCCCAAUUUACCAGAAUUCCCUGAGGACUUCUACUCUGAUUAGGGCUGGGAAGUUAAAAAAGGAGCCAACAAGAAUAAAAGUAGAUGCAACCUGUCCCAAAGCAGCAAGCUACCCAUCAGCAUUGCUCUAAAGCAUGAUAGCUUUACUGAUUUCUGAGCUUCCAUCUAUAUCUUACAUCCUGUCUUCUCCCUUUCUGUGAUGCACAAAACCAAAACAAUUUAUUCCUUUGGAUGAGAUGGGAAAUCAAAAAACAGCAAAGGCUUUGAGGGAGGCCCAUAUUCCUCCAGGGGUGAUGGGUGACCCACCAUGAUAGUCUCCAGAUAUAUAUUAAGCAGAAUACUGCUACAUUCAUAAUUUAGUGUAUUUUUACUCUUAAUAGAGAAGAUCGUGAUAAAUAUUAUAUAAAUAUUCCAGUAUUUCUCUAAUACUAUGCAAAUAUUCUAAUAAUUCUCUGACAUGGAAAAUACCUGGAAAAAUCUACUGAGCAAGUUAAAAACCCCACACAAAUACAGCUAUUACAAUAGCAAUGCUAUAUAAAACGAUUCAUGAUUUUCAAUCUACUACAGCUAGGGCUCCAAAGUCAGCAUUUUAUAAACCUUGGUGACACCACUGUAGGUGCCUGGUUUAAGAAUAAAGCAUCUCAUGUGGCCAUCCUGAACCAGAGGAAACAUUUGAAAUUCCAGUUCUGAAGGGUGUUCAGUGCAGCAUCCUGGAGACUGUCUAUUACAGGGCAGAUAGAUUGUAGGUGGCAAAUCCCUGCCUUAUCAGCCUAUGUAAUUUCUGUUUUGAAGGGCUCACUUCACAAAAAAAAAAAAAAAAAAAAAAAAAAAAAAAAAAAAAAAAAAAAAAAAGGAAGGAAAGGUAGCUAGUUUGCAUAUUCAUUCAGUUUCUUAUCUGUGGUUGUCACACAUAUGUUCAGCCUGAUGGCUGUUGAACAUGACUGCCUAAUGUCCAGGAAGCAUUUUUAGUUGAAUCUGAACUUUAUUUAUAGAAGUCUGGAUGUCUGUUGGCGUUAUUUCUGUGAAAUCAAAACCCUGAAAGAAUAAUUAAAUUUGGUUUAUGUAGCUUAUUCAUAUGCAUCCCACACAUAUAAUAAAAUCAUGAUUGAUUAAGCAAGAUAUAAGUGCUUGAAAGAUAAAAAGUUUCCCCAGAGAUAUGAGUACAGUAAUUACAAAACAAACUCUGUCUCCCUUAAAAUGUUUUAGUGAAAGUCUGAGCUGUCUCUGAGCAAGCAGGUAACAGCUGGUGUUCCGGGGCACCUAGAGAUGCACUGGUGUAGCUCUUCACCAGUAGGUGUCAGUGGAGGGACCUCUGUGGGUUUAAAGCCUGAGCUGUGACUUUUCAGUUUCUAGCUAGUCCUUGCAUACAAAAAGAAAAGGAUGAAAGGCUUCAUUUUCCUGCGUAUUUUUCUUAAAGUAGUUCUUUCACAAACUGGGGAAAAGUAAUACUCCCUGCUACAUACCUGCCACCUAACUGCAGCAGCAUCUCCAAAUGAGUGCAUGCUUUUUGGGAUCUGAUUGAGUUUAAAUUCCACUCUAAUCUGAGAACCCAAUGGACCAAUGAACUCUGUGAAACUCCAUCAUGUAAACAGUCAUACCCUUUCCAGCCUGGUGACUGUUUGGUAAGCUGGUGUCCUGGUUACAUUUCAGUUCUUAUUCCUAAAAAGGAUCAGCUCUAACGUAGUUUGUCUUUGCACCAUCAGCAGAACAAGGCCCUUGUAAACCUGAAGCACCCAGUUUCAGUCUCUGACUUACCAAGAUAGAGAACCUCUGUAACAAAAAAUAUUUUCUCUUACUUUGCACAGAGCACAAACAAAGCUUACACGUAGAUGACAUUUAAGAAUAUACAUAGUGUAAUACAUUUAGACCAAUACCUGAUCUUUUUAUAGAGACCAGCAAAAGACUCUUUAAGAAACCCCAUGCUAAAUAGUUGCCACUUCACCAGUAUAGCCACUAGUAAGACAAAUAUCUUUCAAACCCCAACAAUCUGUGUUCACCUUGAAAUCUGAGCCCAGGGUGAUCAUAUUUAUGAUUUCAAAUGGUUUUAAACAAUGGGGGUUUUGCAGUUUUUGAAAUCUUUACGCUUUUCAGGUUGACUAAAUGUCUUGAAUGAAUUCCACUGUUAUUGAUGCUAUAUAAUGUGUUCUUUCUUCAUUCAAAGUAUUUUAUGUACUUCAUGGUUUUUACUUGUUCUUCCAUCCCCAUGUAGUAAAUACAACAGUCUGAUUCAUCUUCUCUAUUACAGUCACACUUCCUUUCUAAAACAAUCAAAUAUCAAACAAUCAAAAUAACUUGUUUAAACAAUUGCUGUUUUUCCCAGGACCUUGAAGCACCUUUUGGAUAUUAGGAUCUGGCUCAAUGAAAAGGUUAAAUGUGCAUACAAAUUUAAAUCAACUUCAAUAAAUUUAUAAACAAUACUUUAAUGAUUCA